UGUAGCCACACAAGAGACAAAUUAUUCGGUCUAGUCUGAAUUAGUGUUUAAUUGUUAAUGGAAAUCAUUCAUUAAACUAGAGUAUUAUGGAAGGAAACUCAUAUUAUUACCUUUCAUCUGUGGAUAUCCGGUUUGGGGUUUGCUCAUCGUUGAAGCUUUUAAGAUGACAUACAUUUUUUAUUAUAUAUGUCCGUUGGUCUAUUGUGGAGAAUUGUGUCAUUUGCAUUCCUUCCAUAUCUGCUUAUUUUUUUUAUAGGUCUGUCCUUAUUUAAACUCGUU
rnacentral:lncRNA from 1 species